AUGUUGCUCUGUAUACUCUACAACCCACCGCGCACCAGCCACCGUACUAGUUCGGUUGGGAUGCAACGUCUCACCAGUAGACGAAGAAACGAAAAAGCAUGAGAGGAAAAUAAAGAGAGCAGUUAGAAAAAAAUUAUGCUGUCCUGCUUUUUUCCAAUUCCUUCCCCUCUCCCUUUUCUGUUUUCGGUCACUGCAUUGCUGCAAUGUUCUUUUGCGUUUGGAGUUUGUGCAAAUCUGUGCGGCUGACCAAGUAAUUAUAAUUAUUCAAUUUUAAAUAAUGCCAUAACUGUUGAUACGGGGACUGGAUCAGCUGAAGUCCAGCUUAGGAAGGCCCUACAGCUGC